AACCAGGAAAACCAGUAGCAUGACUGAGCGCAGGUUUGUAGACUUGAGAAUGCGAAGAAUUGAUGGUUUGACCUACAGUGGUCCAGAAAUACUAUUCGAUCUACAGGCUGGAGAAACCUGGAGAGAUGAAAUGGACAAGCAAUGGAGAAGUUCAUCUCCAUUUCCAAAGACCAGGCUUUGAAAUCUGAGAUCAAAGUACUGCCGGGUUGACUAGUGAGGUUGGCACUCCAAGGUGGCAUCUUGAGCACCCUCCACGGGGGAGGAAUACUGUGUCCACAAGCCACAGAAAGGCAAGAGAAUGGGAUGCUGCCUGAAUCCCCCUUGAUCAGCAAAGCUUGGUGGAGAAGAAGAAUGGCUUUCAUUUCAUCUCAUCUGCACGAGCUCUCCUGUAACUCACCAGUUCUGCAAUGGAGCGAAGCAGACAGUUCUUCAUUAUGCACCUUUAUCAUGCAACUCUUAAAGCAGAACUCAGAAAAUACAAGAAUAGGUGCUUUCAUUGCUUGGCCUUAUAAUGAACUAGCACUGAAUCAGCCACUCUAGCAGGGUAGCUCUGGGUACGGCUAUUGUAAAACCAUAUUGUGAAAGAGAUGCUUUUAACUGUCACAUAUCAGAAGUCAUAGAAAACACCUCUGGAGAAGAGCUGGGUGGGCAAUGGCUUGUGCUCAGAUAAAGAGGGAUUUCGGAAGUGGCGCCUGCCACACACCAGCUUGAAAGGGUGCUUGCACAAACCUGUUUCCAGUCAUAUGUCUCCAAUGCCAUGCUUCUUAAUCCACCCAAGUUUCUACAUCUCAAAUCAACCAACUCAAGUGUUUCUGUUCGUUUAUGUUGCUGCAACAAAAUGCUUAACACUGGAUAACUUAGAGGAGCAGAACUUUAUCCUUAGUUCUAGAGGUUGUGCAGUCCAAAAUCAAGGUACUGUCCAUUGAGGAUGAUGCUCCCCUUCCAAAAUGGCAUGAAGGAAAAUGAUGGCGUGGCUCCUAGUGUGGGAUAUUCAUUUUCACUGUCGGUACCCGACCUCUCCCAUGCUGUUGGUGCUCAGUGGAGUGCUGAUGAGAUAUUGUCUUCACUGUGAGUGUAACUGUCCUCUAAAUAAAGGAA